UCGAACGGAACUGUUUUGAAAGAUUUCUUCGGAAUGAAUUUGAUUUAGUUCAGUGGCGGACGGGUGAGUAACGCGUGAGUAACCUGCCUUCAAGAGGGGGAUAACAUUCUGAAAAGAAUGCUAAUACCGCAUGACAUAUCGGAAUCACAUGGUUUUGAUAUCAAAGAUUUUAUCGCUUGAAGAUGGACUCGCGUCCGAUUAGUUAGUUGGUGAGGUAACGGCUCACCAAGACCGCGAUCGGUAGCCGGACUGAGAGGUUGAACGGCCACAUUGGGACUGAGACACGGCCCAGACUCCUACGGGAGGCAGCAGUGGGGGAUAUUGCGCAAUGGGGGCAACCCUGACGCAGCAACGCCGCGUGAAGGAUGAAGGUUUUCGGAUUGUAAACUUCUUUUAUUAAGGACGAAAAAUGACGGUACUUAAUGAAUAAGCUCCGGCUAACUACGUGCCAGCAGCCGCGGUAAUACGUAGGGAGCAAGCGUUGUCCGGAUUUACUGGGUGUAAAGGGUGCGUAGGCGGCUUUGCAAGUCAGAUGUGAAAUCUAUGGGCUCAACCCAUAAACUGCAUUUGAAACUGUAGAGCUUGAGUGAAGUAGAGGCAGGCGGAAUUCCCCGUGUAGCGGUGAAAUGCGUAGAGAUGGGGAGGAACACCAGUGGCGAAGGCGGCCUGCUGGGCUUUAACUGACGCUGAGGCACGAAAGCGUGGGUAGCAAACAGGAUUAGAUACCCUGGUAGUCCACGCUGUAAACGAUGAUUACUAG
rnacentral:rRNA from 1 species